rnacentral:lncRNA from 1 species
CACCAGAGCCACAGCAACGCCAGAUCUGAGCCUCGUCUGCGAUCUAUACCACAGCUCACGGCAACGCUGGAUCCUUAACCAACUGAGCGAGGCCAGGAAUUGAACCCUCAACCUCAUGGUUCCUAGUCGGAUUCAUUUAGGCUGCACAACGACAGGAACUCUGAAAUUAAUUCCUUUUUAAUCUUCAUUUUUCUUAUUUGUUAUUCAAUUAUGAUUCACCUGCAAUGUUAUUCAUUACCGUGGCAGACUAAUAGUAGGUAUAUCUUCCCCCUUCAUUUGAAAAAUAAUAUUGCAAUUAAAAAGUGGUAAUCCAUUACUUUUUCCUCUUUUUUGAUUCCAUAAUCAUUUAUCUUUUUUUUUUUUUUUUUUUUUUUUGUCUUCUUGCCUUUUCUAGGGCCGCUCCCGCGGCAUAUGGAGGUUCCCAGGCUAGGGGUCGAAUGGGAGCUGUAGCCGCCAGCCUACACCAGAGCCACAGCAACGCAGGAUCCGAGCCGCAUCUGCAACCUACACCACAGCUCACGGCAACACCGAAUCCUUAACCCACUGAGCAAGGCCAGGGAUCAAACCCACAACCUCAUGGUUCCAUUAACCACUACGCCACGACGGGAACUCCCUACCAGGCUCCUUUAAGGUCCAUUACUUUCUUCUGUCUGGGAGUGACGAGUUGCAUGUUUAGCCUCUCUUGUCUUACUUGGCUGGUGUGACAAGACAGUGCUAUAGGUGUCUGCUCACAUUCUCACAGGCCAGACCUCCUAUGCAGGAUCUGCAAGAGUCUAGGGGAUCCAUUCUGUGGGCCGGCUACAGCCAUCUCUGCACUCUGGUCUAUAACAGGAAGACAGCAGAGAAGUCUUUCAGAAAGACUUGUCUCUGUGCUAUGACAUUUCUCCAUGCUCCCCUUUUGGGCAAAGGCAAGGAGGUCAUUUUUUAUCAAGACAAAUGAAAAUGACCUCCAAGGGACACCUCCUUGCACCCGGGGGGGUGGGGGGCACUGGAGUAUGAUAGACCUGAGAAAUCCAAAGGCAAGAGGCUGAGGCUAGAGCUCUAAGGUUGCAGGAUGGCAGAGCAAGAGUGAGAGAGAAAGAAGGUGCAAGAGUAAGAUGGAAUAGGAGGGAGGUUCCUGUCCAUUGAGUGGGCACACAUUUCGCAGGAAGGAGUGACUAGAGGCAUCUCAUAAAGGGCUUCCCCCAAAGAAGGGGGUGCCAGAUGGACUGACCAAGCAGAGGGGUGGGCUCAGGAUAUCUAGGGGCCAAAUGUUUGGAGUUGUCAACCACUGUUAGGAGGGGAAAUGGCCAGAGUUGAGGUUCAGAGCAGAGACUCUUCAGGAAACCCAUCUAAGUGGCCCAUGAAAGAAAGGGGCUACUCUGGGCAUCGUCAGACUCAGAGAGCAGCAAGGCCACACCGUGAUGGGACAGGUCAUCUAAGAUAGUGUUGUUCUCCAUCCCUCCCUUCCCCUGGACCCUACCUGUGACCAAGGAUUCCUCAACCUCCCCAAGUGCAGAAAGAGCUCAGGAAAAAGGCAAGGACUCAAACUCAUCCUCCCUCCUCCUGCAAGCCCUCUAGUCAGGGGCAGAUCUAAAUCAGGGCAGAGGAGAAGCCCGAACUUUGAGCUGAAAAGGUUUGAUUAUUAGUCUCAACUAGACACUUAAAUUACUGACCUGAGACCUUGCUUUGUAACUAAAAGUGAUUGAACAAGCAGUGGACGCUUCAUGAGAGAGUUCACUCGGGGCUGAGAGUAAAGGCCAUGGAGGGGGAAAUAAAAUUGUUUUGUACCCACAGAAUGCUGCUUAUGCAAUAAAAUGGCUUUGCAGGAAUGGCUGGCUCGCCCUCCUCCAGCCAGGUCCCCUCCUUCUGAAGUCCUUUUUGUCUCCAGGAGCAAUUCAUGCUCCUCUCUGCUCAAAUAAGAUUCUCCUAUGGUUCUUUUCUGGAGCUGGUGUUGCCGCUUUGGAGCUAAAUGCCCAAACAGCUUUUCACCUUCAAAAUACCACAGAGGCUGCUCAGAAGUCGCUCUUACCAUCGGGAGUGUUUGUCUCUCAAACUGGGCUCUCCCAACUUUUUACCACUAGGAAAACAGCCCUGAUGGAGACAGAUCUUCCCAGGAUGGCACUGGAGUGGUGUGAUUGGUGCCCUGUAGUCAGAAGGGCAUCAGUUCCCAUCCCAGGUACCUUAUUUACUAACUGUCUGACCUGUGAGACUUUUUCAGCCAUUCUGUGCUCAGACACAUCAUUUAGAAGAUGGGAAUAACUACAACAAAAGCAACAAUAAAUAAUAAUACUAUUGGAGUUCCCGUUAUGGCUCAGUGGGUUAAGAAUCUGAUUGGCAUCAGUGAGGAUAUGGAUUUGAUCCCUGACCUUGCUCAGUGGGUUAAAGGAUCCGGUGUUGCUGCAAACUGCUGUAUAGGUUGCAGACGUGGCUCGGACAUGACAUUGCUGUGGCUGUGGCUGUGGCCAGCAGCUACAGCUCUGAUUCGACCCCUAGCCUGGGACCUUCUAUAUGCCAUGGGUGUGGCCCUAAAAGGACCCCCAAAUAAAUGAAUAUUUAACAAUACUAUCAACCCUUGUGGUUCCAUGUGAAGAGACUGUCACAGAGUAAGUGCUCAACAUGGGGCACUAUUUGUUCCUGUGCUUUGCCAGAGGGUAGAGAGACUUCUCGGAGAAGUGCCCCUUUGGACCUGCGUUGCUAAACCUCUCUCCUUCUUGAUGUUUUACCCCUGCCCCUGAGCUUUGCUGCUGGAGGAGGCUUUGGGAUGGCUCUGUAGCCAGAUCAUUUCUAGUUCCUCCCAAGUCUUCUUUUUUGCUUCCUCAGAGUUUGGAAGUACUCAAGGGCGUCAUUUACCUGGACGCCACUCCAUUCUUCUCCCAUGGCACUGGGAAGGGGAUGGGAAGGUGACACACUGACCUCCAACUUGCCAUGAGUCCAGCCAGGUGGAUCCAGCCAGGAGGCCCCAUCAUCCUUCAAUGAAUCCUGGAGGUGCUAACUCAAAUGUGUGCCAAUCAGGGAGUUCCCGUUGUGGCUCAGUAGGUUAAGAACUCAAUGUAGCAUCCGUGAGGAUGCAGGUUUGAUCCCUGGACUCGCUCAGUGGGUUAAGGAUCCAGCAUUGCUGCCAGCUAUGGCAAAGGUCAAGGAUGCAGCUGGGAUCCAUCAUUGCUGUGGCUGUGGUGUAGGCUGGUAGCUACAGCUCCCAUUCAGCCCCUAGCCUGGGAACUUCCAUAUGCCACAGGUGUGGACC